rnacentral:tRNA from 1 species
GACCUGGUGGCACAGUAGUUAAGUGCUUGGCUGCUAACCAAAAGGUUGGUAGUUCAAACCCACCACAGCUCC